GACGAACGCUGGCGGCGUGCUUAACACAUGCAAGUCGAACGGAAAGGCCCUGCUUUUGUGGGGUGCUCGAGUGGCGAACGGGUGAGUAACACGUGAGUAACCUGCCCUUGACUUUGGGAUAACUUCAGGAAACUGGGGCUAAUACCGGAUAGGAGCUCCUGCUGCAUGGUGGGGGUUGGAAAGUUUCGGCGGUUGGGGAUGGACUCGCGGCUUAUCAGCUUGCUGGUGGGGUAGUGGCUUACCAAGGCUUUGACGGGUAGCCGGCCUGAGAGGGUGACCGGCCACAUUGGGACUGAGAUACGGCCCAGACUCCUACGGGAGGCAGCAGUGGGGAAUAUUGCACAAUGGGCGGAAGCCUGAUGAAGCAACGCCGCGUGCGGGAUGACGGCCUUCGGGUUGUAAACCGCUUUCGCCUGUGACGAAGCGGGAGUGACGGUAAUGGGUAAAGAAGCACCGGCUAACUACGUG
rnacentral:rRNA from 1 species